rnacentral:lncRNA from 1 species
CUGAAGCCACAACUACAGCCUUGCCCCACUGCUGCGCGCUCACUAGACAAAGACUGCAACAACAGAGCGGGCGCCAAUUAACUCCUCCAGAAGAAGCUGCGGCGGUCCGUCGCGAGGCUGAGAAGAUAUCUGUGAUCCCAAACUCCAAAUUAGAGAUUCAGACUGACGGCGGCGGCGGUGGCGGCGGCCUGCUGGGCGCUCUCUGUGCAAACCACGCCCACCAUGAGCUGAAAGCCAAAUGUGACUGGUGCCAACUCUGAAAUCUGUCUGUCAGUAAAUGUACAGUUACCUUUACCUAUAUAUUAUGCAAACUGAGUUUGUCUGCACUGUACAGUUUGUGUCGAAUAUAUUGUAUACACACAGAAAAUACAAAAUAUUGAAUAAAAGGUUUAUAGAAAGG